UACGGGGGGAGCAAGCGUUGUUCGGAUUUACUGGGCGUAAAGGGCGCGUAGGCGGCGUGGUAAGUCAAUUGUGAAAUCUCCGAGCUUAACUCGGAACGGUCAAUUGAUACUGCUGUGCUAGAGUACAGAAGGGGCAAUCGGAAUUCUUGGUGUAGCGGUGAAAUGCGUAGAUAUCAAGAGGAACACCUGAGGUGAAGACGGGUUGCUGGGCUGAUACUGACGCUGAUGCGCGAAAGCUAGGGUAGCAAACGGG
rnacentral:rRNA from 1 species